rnacentral:rRNA from 1 species
UUAAGCUACAAGAAGGCGCACUGAGGAUGCCUUGGGACUAACCGGCGAAGAAGGACGCUGCCAAUCUGCGAAAUGCCACGGGGAGCUGAUAAGCGAGUAUUGAUCCGUGGAUGUCCGAAUGGGGAAACCCCUUAUGCGGUGACGCAUAAGAUCCUGUACUGAGUGAAGUAGGUAUAGAGAAGCGAACGUGGGGAAUUGAAACAUCUUAGUACCCACAGGAAAAGAAAUCAAACAAGAGAUUGCCCUAGUAGCGGCGAGCGAAGGGGCAAUAGCCUAAACCGAUGUCAUGUCAAUCUGACUGGAGUUGUGACGUUGGGGUUAUGAGAGCAAUUGGGUACAUCAGUCAAUGUACCGCGAAGUAAGAAAUCACAUUUUUAACUGAAGAGUCUGGGAAGGCUCACCAUAGAGAGUGAAAGUCUCGUAAGUGAAAGGAAUGUGACUUCGUGGAUUGUUUCUCAAGUAAUACGGGACACGUGGAAUCCUGUGUGAAGUAGGGGAGACCAUUCUCCAAGGCUAAACACGAGUUAGUCACCGAUAGUGAACUAGUACCGCGAGGGAAAGGUGAAAAGUCCCCCGUUGAGGGGAGUGAAAUAGUAUCUGAAACAGUGUGCUUACAACCUGUAAGAGAGCGUUGAUCAUCCAUGGUGGUGAUUAGGCUUGAUUACGUACCUUUUGCAUAAUGAGCCAACGAGUUACGAUAUGUGGCAAGGUUAAGGCGAAGAGCCGGAGCCAGAGGGAAACCGAGUCUGAAUAGGGCGAAACAUUAAGUCGCACGUCGUAGACCCGAAACGGGAUGAGCUACCCAUGACCAGGUCGAAGCGUCCGUAACAGGGCGUGGAGGACCGAACCGGUGGGCGUUGAAAAGCUCUCGGAUGAGUUGUGGGUAGGGGUGAAAGGCCAAUCAAAUUCCGUGAUAGCUGGUUUUCUCCGAAACAUAUUUAGGUAUGGCCUCGUACGAACACUAUCGGAGGUAGAGCACUGACUGGGCUAGGGGCCUUACCGGGUUACCAACCCCUAUCAAACUCCGAAUGCCGAUAAGUGAUGUACGGGAGACAGACGGUGGGGGAUAAGCUUCAUCGUCAAGAGGGAAAGAACCCAGAGCGCCGUCUAAGGCCCCAAAUUCAUAGCUUAGUGGGAAAGGAUGUGGAUUUACACAGACAACCAGGAGGUUGGCUUAGAAGCAGCCAUCCUUUAAAGAAAGCGUAAUAGCUCACUGGUCGAGUGAAUCUGCGCCGAAAACGUAACGGGGCUGAAGCUAUGAGCCGAAGACGCGUCAUUUUAGAGAGUGUCGUCUCUCUGAGAUGGGUAGGAGAACAUUGUGUAUGCCGAAGAAGCGUGAGCGAGAGCACACGUGGAGGUGGCACAAGAGCUGCUGUUGGCAUGAGUAGCGAUAAACAAGGUGAGAAUCCUUGUCGCCGUAAGCCCAAGGGUUCCUGAGCAAGGUUCGUCCGCUCAGGGUUAGUCGAUACCUAAGUCGAGGCCGAAAGGCGUAGACGAUGGAUAGCAGGUGAAUAUUCCUGCACUCGCAUGAAAGCGUUACUAAUCAAGUGGUGACGAAGAAGGUUAAGCGUAGCCGGCUGUUAUGGUUGUGCCGGUUCAAGGUUGUAGGUGGAAUCUGGAGGUAAAUCCCUGGGUUCGUUAACACCGAGAGCUGAUGACGAGAGUCAAAGACUCGUAAAGUUGCUGAUACCAUGCUUCCAAGAAAGAGCUGCGUGAUGAGUUUUCAUGUGAAUCGUACCGGAAACCGACACAGGUGGGCGGGAUGAGAAAUCUAAGGCGCGUGAGAGAACUCCGCUUAAGGAACUCUGCAAAUUAACACUGUAACUUUGGAAUAAAGUGUGCCCGUAAUGGUGAAGUCGUACAGACGGAGCUGAGACGGGUCGCAGUGACUCGGGGGUAUCGACUGUUUAACAAAAACACAGGGCUCUGCGAACACAAACGUGGACGUAUAGGGUCUGACGCCUGCCCGGUGCUGGAAGGUUAAGGUGAGGGGUCAAAAGGAGUAAUCCUUUGAAGCUCUGAACUUAAGCCCCAGUAAACGGCGGCCGUAACUAUAACGGUCCUAAGGUAGCGAAAUUCCUUGUCGGGUAAGUUCCGACCUGCACGAAUGGCGUAACGAAUUCCCCACUGUCUCGAGCGGAGACUCAGCGAAAUUGGAGUAUCGGUGCAGAUACCGUUUACCCGCGGCAAGACGGAAAGACCCCGUGAACCUUUACUGUAACUUGGCAUGGACGUUGGGAUCCUCAUGUGUAGGAUAGGUGGGAGCCUUAGAGAGUUGGGCGCUAGCUCAGCUGGAGGCAACCUUGAAAUACCACCCUUGAGAGUCUCGACGUCUCACUACGAGUCGUGAAACCGGCUGUAGGACAAUGCCUGGUGGGCAGUUUGACUGGGGCGGUCGCCUCCCAAAAAGUAACGGAGGCGCGCGAUGGUUCCCUCAGGCUGGUCGGAAAUCAGCCGAAGAGUGUAAUGGCAUAAGGGAGCUUGACUGCAAGACAAACAAGUCGCGCAGGUGCGAAAGCAGGUCAUAGUGAUCCGGUGGUUCCGAAUGGAAGGGCCAUCGCUCAACGGAUAAAAGGUACUCCGGGGAUAACAGGCUUAUCUCCCCCAAGAGUUCACAUCGACGGGGAGGUUUGGCACCUCGAUGUCGGCUCAUCGCAUCCUGGGGCUGGAGCAGGUCCCAAGGGUUUGGCUGUUCGCCAAUUAAAGCGGUACGCGAGCUGGGUUCAGAACGUCGUGAGACAGUUCGGUCCCUAUCUGCCGUGGGUGUAGGAGAAUUGAGAGGGGCUGUCCUUAGUACGAGAGGACCGGGACGGACGAACCUCUGGUAUGCCGGUUGUCACGCCAGUGGCACACGCCGGGUAGCUAUGUUCGGAAGAGAUAACCGCUGAAAGCAUCUAAGUGGGAAACUCGCCUCAAAACUAUUUCUCCCGAGGUCUUUAAGACCUCCUUAAGUUCCGCAGUAGACUACUGCGUUGAUAGGCAGGGUGUGUAAGGGUAGUAAUACCUUGAGCUGACCUGUACUAAUCGAACGUGAGGCUUAGUCUU